UCAGCCUGAUCCCACGGGGAGGUCAGAAGAAUGAACUGCACAGACUGGGUCCCACAGGGAGGCAAGGGGGCAGGCUUUCUGUGCCCCCUGUCAGUCAGUCAUCGGGCGCGGGGUGUAACCAGCUCAGUAAGGAAGCUCCUAUUUGGCCCAGGGCAAUUCUCCAGAGAAGGAGACAGCUGUGAGCCACUAGCAGCCAUCCUCCCAACAGCUGGGAGUGGUUGCACAGCUUUAGUACAGAGGGAGCACGGCUAAUCAUGGCCACCCCCGAGGAGCUCACUGCAGAGUGAUAGAUCCCUGAAGAGAUGAGAGAGACUACUCGUCUGACCCCCUCAUUCCACGGACAAGAAAACUAUGGGUCAGACAGGGUGGGUGACUUGCCAAGGCUGCCUAGCUCAUCUGUGGUAGAGCUGGGGCAAGAAUCCAGACUUCCUGACCUCACACAUGGCUUUGCAGGAUGAGCAUUUUGGCCUGAUUCUUGUGUCAAGAAAAAGUGGUAACGGUGUGAAUGAAUCAAUUCUCAGUAAUGGCAUCUUAAACGCAUUCACUGGGGGGGUUAACACAACACAGUCACCACCCAUUUGCACACAGUAUUUUAAAAUUUGUGGCACUAUUGCUGUGGAAAAGUAUCUAUGUACCCCAAAAUAUGUUUUCCUCCCGGAGUAAAGGACAUUUACAGGAAAGUAUUGUAUUUGCUCAAGUUUCUUCAAGAGAGAAACGUGACUCAAAUGUAGAUGGCUGUGGAUGGCAGGACUGUGACAACGGUCCAGAUGUGAAGGGCAAACACAAGGGUAUGCUGUGGAAAAUUUUGUUCUGGAAUACUGAAGCUCUCUUUUUUCUUUAUCUUGCAUAGCUCAAAAUUUUGACCUCUGAAGAUGCAAAACUGCCAAAUGAGUUUUAUGAUGCAAAUUUAAAACAACCUACUAACGGUGCCAGACUCUGUUUUUUAAAACUGCUUUCAUUUGCAGCAAAUUGAUAUGUUCAUUCAACAAAUAGUGAUCAUACUAUUGCACUUGAAACCACGUACUGAUAUUUAUGGGCAAGAUAUCUAUUCUGUCAGCUAUGGGAAGAACAGGCGAGGCUUUCUGUAAACCAAGGGUAUCAGCAAGUCUCCCAGGUCUGACCAAACUUACUGUGAAUGCAAGUGGUAACAGACAGGCUCUAAGAUGGUCCCUGGAUCUCUGCCUCCAGCUAUGCACGUGCUUGGGUGAUCCUCUCCCCUCCAGUGUGGAUGGGACCCGUGACUUCCUUCUAACCAAUAGAAUCUGGCAAAGCUUACAAACUUUGAUGAAGGAAGUAACCACAAUGGGGAGGUUCGUGAGGCAAGGAACUGAGGGUGGCCUUCAGCUAACAACCAGCUAGAUACUGAGGUUCUCAAUCCAUCAGGCUAUGUGGAACUGAAUCCGCCAAGAACCACACGAGCUCGAAAACAGACCCGUCUCCACUCAAGCUUUCAGAUGGGACCCCAGCCCUGGCCACCACCCUGAUUACAGCCUUGUGAAAGAUCCUGAAACAGAGGAUCCAGCUCAUUGUGCCUGGAUUCUUGAUCCACAGAAGCUGUGAGAUAAAAAACAUUUCCUUGACUAUGCCUUCCAGAUUACAUCUCCAGGAUACCAUUUUCCUCCGAUCAACUGAGAUGACCUGCUCUCCAUUCCUCAAACACACCAGGCUCCCAAUCGUAUAUUCUCUGCUGACUUCACCACGAGGUCUCUGCAGUCAUGCAUCCUUUAGCCCGUCCUUACCAGGAAAGGGACCUAUUGCUUUUCCACAGGGGUGAGUCUCUUGGGAGCUCUGCCCAAGGCCAUUAUGAUUAGAGUUGCCAUGAAAACUUAAAAGACUCAUAUUUUAAAAUGAGCCAGCUUUUUCUUUGCUGCUCCUUGCUGCUCAGUCUCUCUCCCAGCAAACAGGUUAGGAACCAGGAAACCCUUGCUUGUUACAUGCAAUUCGAACCACUCAGCAGAUUAAAAAGAGCAGUUUGGAAGUGCGGUGAGAAUGCCAGCUGCUUGAACACUGAGGGAGGGUCUCUGUGUUUCCCUACAUCCAGGGCUUUAUGUGCAAGGCUUAGCGGUGUCCAUUUUAAGCACUCAGGUCUUAUUCCUCUGCCUCGGUUCUCGACUGUGUCUCCGACAGUGGAGGUUGCUCAAUAGGUAUGUGUGUGACACCUGACUUAAUGGCUGACUCUUGUUCCCACAGCCCAAAGAUUAAUGAAUGAGGAGGCAGAUGUGACAGCAGCAAUUCACAGGUCAAAGGACUGUGAUUCUCAGAAUUCCAGAUCCCGCUUCCUCAGUCUCAGUGUAGUAAAUAAACCCCUCAUUAGUAUCAGCUCAUUAUUUUCAUAUUCCUUCUGGAUCAGCAUUGGAGAGUGGAGAUACGGAGGAAAUGUAUCGGAAGUGACACCUUUUAGGGCUUUUAUGGGUUGGCGUUAGGAAAUCAAAGAAUAGUUUCCAGCAGUAAUGCGGAAGUUUAAAGGCAUUUCACCCUCAAGAUUUUCACUGGCUUCCAGACUAAUAAGAUUUCACCAACCUUAUCCUAUAGUUGGUGUCAUGGGGUUCUGAGUAAUGCAGAAUGUGGGGGUUUAUUGUACAAUCUGGAGUUGUUAGAACCUUCCUGAUUUAUAAGAAUUUGACAUCUCUCAAAAAUUUAACCAUUUUGCUUUUGUUGGCUUAGUAAAAAUGUGCAGCAUUAGGGCUGUGAGAUUACAAUGAGCCAGCACGGCUCCAACGAGAAGAACAAGAAAUACAACCCCAGAGAGAGCAGAGGCCUGGGGAACAACAGACAAACAAAACAUUGCAAGCUUCUGGAGCCGCUGCUGGGGAGGGUAAGCAAGGCCUGAGAGGUCAGCAAAAGCUAAAGAUUGAAGAGCUUAAAAGGAAGCUGCUGUAGGGAGAUGAGACAGAAAUGGCAGUUUCUAGACAGGAUAUUGACUGCAAGCUGUAUUUGGUUUUCAUCUCAGCUAAGUUUGGGGCCUCAUUCUCUAAAAGUAGUACAAAUACCACACUGCUUUUCCUGCAUUGGCUAUGUCUUGUUUACAUUUCUACAGCAAACUGAAAUAUCCAUAGUUGCUAGAUGUGGCCACAGUAGGCUGAUGGUAUGUAAAGUAAGUACAGAAAUAAGAUGCAAAUGUGUCUUUCAGUGAGGCCAGCCUCUACCUGAUCAAGUCUCAAGCUUGUACAGCAGGAACACUAGAAAAGAGUGAUCUUGAGGUCUGAUCCAAGAGUUCUACUUCCAGUACAGCUGAGGAAGAUCCUACUGGGGACCAACCCACCCACUGAUAACAAUGAUAAACUGGAAGAUAUCAAGAAACGACAGCCUGAAGGUGAUAGAGAAUGAACAAAAGAAAGCACAUUCAGGGAGGGAGUGGACACUGGGAACAGAGGACAGCAUCUUCCCGGCUCUUAGCCUGAGGGAAGGCCAUGACUCAGGGUCACGAAAUGGGGAGGUUUACCAGAACGCUAGUAGAAAACCAGCAGUCUUUCUGGCUUCAAGAAACAGAGGACAGAGUUCAGGGCAAGCACAGCCACUGCAAAAUGAGGGGGGAGUCCUGGAAAGGUGAGAGUCAGAGGGGAGCCUCAAAGUCUGAAUAUAAUCUUAUCUGAAUUUCUGGUUGGCUAUACAGGCAGACUAUGGCUAAGGAUAAAACAACUGAACUGAGAUUUCAGCUGCUACCAAGAGACAGCGUUUGUAGUUCAAGUCCAACCAAAGUACCUGCCUGAUAAACCAAACAAAAAAUCAACACUCCUAAGUCAGAUGUCCUGAGGCAUGCCUGUUAAAAACGUAGAUUCCCAAGCCCCACCCACAGAUCUGCAGAAUCUGAAUCUCUGGGGGGUAGUGCCUCAAGUCCGUCUUUGUAACAAGCAGCCUUGAUGACUCAGGCACCCUCGAGUUUAAGCCUGGCUGCUCUGAGAGUUGGUGUCGUCCACGUCUUACACUCAGAGGUUUGCUGAAACAGGCUGUACUUGAGGGCAUGGUCUCUGUCUUUGGCUGCCAAGGAAGAUGGGUCAGCUGCCUGCAUCUUUGGUGCUGGCCACGUGAAGCUGAGAGGUCAUUCAGAGGCAGAGGGGAGAUGCUUCACUCCUUAAGAUCAUCACUGAAAAUUUUUUGAUAUCGAAGGAGGCAAUAUAAAGAUGGGACAGCUGUCCCUCAACAGUCUCCUACAGGUCAGCGGGACGCCUCCCUCCUCUGCCAUCUUUGACUCCUCAUAUCCUCUAACCCUGCUGCCCCUCCACUCCAUGGAAAGCAGCAUUUUCAAGUCUUAAAUAUGUUAAAUAUGUUAAAUAUGUUAUGCUAAAGAUUUGUUGGGGUUUUCGUGAAUCAGCAGAAAUAUGACAAGCUGGUUGGCAUCUUGGUCUCAACAUUUAAUUGUUUCCAUUGCUGUAACUUCCAAUUAUAAAAACAUUCAUAGAUAAAAGCUAGGAAAACAACUCAUAACACACAUGACAAACACAGAAGUGACGUUUGUAACGUACUUGUCCUUCCCCCUCCCCGGUCAUUGUAAUGACUCUAAUUUUACCAAGGAGGAAAUGUGCCCAGUCAUUUAGCUCUUCAUACCUGUCUCCAUGCCAAGUGUCCAGAACCAUACAAUGUGGCAAACCAGAUUUAGAACUCUCAGCCUUUGCACCUGUCAGCCAAGGCACCCCUCUCUCAAAAUGAAUACAAUGUUUAAUAAGAAAAAGUAAGUGUAUGUUAUUCUAAAUUUUCAAUUAAUGGGCACUUCAUGGAAACCUUUUAAGACUUAAGUGAAUAUACAGAAAAAAUUUUUAAGGAUUAAAAUAUAUGGUGGAAUAAAAUUCCUUACCCAUGUCAUUUAGAAAACUACUUGAUAGGAAUUUCAAUUUUAAAUCUGGGAGCUAAUCUAAUGAAGUGGUCCUAAAGCCAGGCUCUAGGCAGAAAACAGAGAAAUUCUAACAGGUUCUAAUUUAAUACAACAUAAAAAAAAUUUUUUUAAGGAUGAUUUUUAAAGGAAAUAGCAGGAAAGAUAUGGUGGGGCGGAUGAGAUAGGGAGAGACAGAAAUAGAGGCAGAGCUUAACAGAUAUAGAGAAAUAUACAUUCUAAUUCAAGUGCCCCUUUCAAGAUUAAGUAAAAGAGGACAAACGAAGAGGGCAGUUUCAUUUUGAGACUGUGUUUCUAUCUUAAGAAGAGCAGAGACAGACCAAUUAUAACUUUAUAGCUCAGUUUGUGAUAAUUAAAUUACUGAGACUUACA